rnacentral:rRNA from 1 species
UACGUAGGCAGCGAGCGUUGUUCGGAAUUACUGGGCGUAAAGGGUGUGUAGGCGGUUUUCUAAGUUUGGUGUGAAAUCUCCCGGCUCAACUGGGAGGGUGCGCCGAAAACUGGAAGGCUAGAGUGCGGGAUGGGAGAGUGGAAUUCCUGGUGUAGCGGUGAAAUGCGUAGAUAUCAGGAGGAACACCGGCAGUGUAAACGGCUCUCUGGACCGUAACUGACGCUGAGACACGAAAGCGUGGGGAG